CAGAGAACAAACUUCAGGAAACGUGGUACUUCGACGUAGAUCGACGGUGGAAUUGGUAUCAAUGGUGACGUCGAUUGUUUGUAGUAACGAUACUCAGCAUUACUGAAAGGAAAAUCAGUGUGUUGUAGAUCAAACGCGCAUAAUUAUGCACAAAGGAAAGAUGUUAUCCGGAUAGAGACGCUUAACUGAUAAGCAGGCGAAAGAGAGCACCCAGGAGAGAAAAAUGCUUCGUCAACAAAACGAAAUUGAUACUUUGCAGGCGGUUAAUGCAGCAAAAGAUUUAGUAUAUGCGCUCGAAGAAGAUGACUUCAUAUUUCUUUCAAUUAAUGUAGUACUUUUAUGUAGAUUCUUAUAAUUUUACGUAUACAAACACUCACGCUAUUAACUUAUAUAUAUAUAUAUAUUAUUAACUUAUAUAUAUAUAUAAAUAAAUAAUAGUAGAGUUAUAUAUAUAUCAUAAAAUAUUCUAUUUACACGAUUACAUAUUUCAAUAUUAUUCCAAUAGAUAUUAAUAUACUUAGAAUGCGUGUAAACGUUACAAUGAAAAAUCGUAGAAAUACUCUUCAAGUCUCGAUAUUAAUUCUAAGCUUCAAAUUAAUAUUACAUUAUGAUUUUCCUUGAUAUUUAUAUCACAGAUUUUUUAUUCUUUAUAAUGUCUUUAUAAUGUCAUUUUUUAAUGUCAGAUAGUACUAGCAAGAUGUUCUAUUAGUUAGAUUUUUUUUCCCUUUUUAAUUUAUGAAAGGACAAUCCCUCUUUGUCAAUAACCGAUAACUUUGAACAAGUUAGAAGCACCUUAUCAGGCAUACAAAAGUGUAAAACGAUAUUAUAAAAAUAGAUACACUUACUCUCGAUAUCUCUCGUCCGCUGCCUUUUCCAGUAAAGGCAUACCCGAUAAGAAGAGGAUGAUGAUCGUCGUAAAGAUCGGAGAGGCGAUAACAACCCAUUCGGCUCCUUCAAUCACGUUCAAGGAUAUUACAAAGAUACCCCACCAUACUACAAUCUCUCCGAAAUAAUUAGGAUGUCUAGAUAGUCUCCAUAAUCCUGUAAUAAUUACGAUCGUUAUACAAAAUACGACAAUUUACGCUCUCGAUUAUUUAAUUAUUAUUAAAUUAAAUCUAAAUUAUUUGA